UUCAGGGUCGGUUGGUCAAGGGAAUGGGUGGAGCUAUGGAUCUGGUGUCCAGUCACAAAACUAAAGUUAUUGUUACCAUGGAACACUAGGACAAGAAAGGAAACAGUAAGAUAGUCAACAGCUGUGAUCUGCCCCUGACGGGUAAAAACUGUGUGGAUAUGACCAUCACUGACAAGUGUGUGUUUGACGUGGACUCAGAAAAGGGACUAAUUUUAACGGAGAUCGCAGAAAACGAAGAUGUCGCCAGCAUUGUUGGUGCCACCAACUGUGAAUUUGUGGUUGCUCCAGAUGUUAAAGUAAUGGGACAGAUUCAGACAUAGAUAAUGGGGAGACAACUCACUGCUGGUCUUGUCAAUGUGUGUGUCUGAUAUGUGAUAUGUAGACUUAUAAACAGAGUGGCAUGAUGAGAACUGUAGACCCAAGGACUGGUGUAGAUGUCAAAACACUUAACUCUGUGAUCUGAGCCUCAUGCUAUAAUUGUGAGACAAACAUGUUUAUGUUUCGUUAUGUAUUGUGGGGAUAAAUCUUGCUCAUCUACUUCGCAAAAACGAUAUUUCACAGAAUAAGUCAAAAUUUUGUUUUGUAUAAGUGAUUUUACUCAUGGUCUUCUAAAGUCGUGCAUAAUAAAUUUAAAUUUUCUUAGUCCUCUGUGCUCUUCACAAACAAAUACCUGCUUGAAUGGCUUCAAAACAUUGUUACAUUUGUCAUUUCUCUGUUUGAUUAAGGAUGUACAAUGUGUAUGACCUACAGACAUAAUCUGUCAAAAUAAAAUAAAAUUAAGGAUCAUUUUGAACUUUUAAUUUUUUACAAGUUUUUUCCCAUAAAUUAUAUAGUUAAAAAAAUAAUUAUGAUUGUUAUUCAUUUUUUUUUAUUCCAUGAUAUAUUUCCUUUUUUCUGAUAGAUCUAGAGUCUUGACAAUUUACCUUUUUUCCUCCAAAAAAUGAAUUGCCCUUGGCCUCUAUACUAGUACUAAACAUGUUGAUACACAAGGUAGGAGAAAUUAAAUUUUUCUUUACAUAUUUUGGUUUCAAAUGUGUACAAAUAACAAAUAUACAAUUUAAUGUUUAUAUAUGAGGGCAUUUUUCAAUCAUAUAAUGUUUUUUUAUUGAUGAUGUACGUAUGAAUUCUGAGAUAUCUGAGUUGUUUCAGAAUAAAAGUGAUAUUUCUGUACUAUUUCUGUUUUUGUUUGUAACACAUAGGUUUAUAAUAAAUAGAACUAGUGGUUGAGGACGUACAGAGUGGGAAUCAGCAGUUACAUGUACAGGAGGCAA